GCGCGAAUAGCUCAGUGGUAGAGCUCUGGUUUUACACACCAGCGGUCGGGGGUUCGAAACCCUCUUCGCGCACCA
rnacentral:tRNA from 1 species